UUCCAAUGAAUAGUCAGCGUUGAUAUCCUUAGGAUUGACUGGUUUGAUCUCCUUGUUGUCCAAGGACUCUCGAGUCUCAAGAGGGGCCGGUAGGUCAGGGCCAUGUCUGGUACAGUCUCUGGGUGUUGAGGCAGAAUCUUCUGGGAAACUGAAGCCUGACAGAGGUAUCUUCAGCCGGGAGAGCUGGGUGGACAGUCCUGGCCUCCAUGUGCUGGCAGAAAAACUGAAGUUAGAGAGGGUGCCCCACUAGGAUGCUGACAAGCCGAAGUCUUCAUUUUCAUUUCGGCUGAGAAGGGGUCAGGGACCCAAAUGGGCCCAGAGUGGAUCCUGGACCUUCUUCUGACCACAGAAAAUAAUCUUCGAGUCUACUGCUGGAGUGGUGAUGAGGCUGCUACCUGGACACAUUGAAUGAGGAUGGGUCUCUGAAGGUCUCCCGUCUCCCAUCCGACCUGACCUUGGAGUCUGAAGUGUGGGGCCAACUUGCCAGUUUCAGUUGGGACUUUCCUUCGAAUGGUGCACCUGCUGCCAGACGAGAGGCUUUCAGAUGUCAGGUACAGGAUUUCUCCCUGGCUCACUCGCUAAGUGCUGUGAAAUGUGCACCACCGUAGCUUCUUUUGGAGGGUCACACUUACUCUAUUGUCAGCACUCAGGGCCUUUCAGAGCCGAGGAGAAAACCAUUCUUGCAACUUGCUUUUGAUCAAACAAGGCUUCACUCAGCCUGAUAAUGGACCCCUACUAACUCCUGAAUGCUUCAGAAGUGAAGUUCACUCUUAGAUGACAUGGGCAUCACCCCAGGCCUGUUCCCAGUCUGUGCAGAGGAGCCUGCAGGCUGUAGUAGGUGCACCCCAGAGUUGGGGCUCCCUCACAGGUCCCCUGCACCGAGCACAGGGCAUUCCUGCCAGGCAGCCAGCAUACACGAGCCUGUGACCAGACCAGGGUCAGAAGCUGAGGGAGAGCUGCAGAGGUGUUCUGGCCAGGACGGUGCUCCGGACAGGCAGCUUCCGCAUGAGGACCCCCUGGGGGUUCUGUGCACCCGCAGAGUUGGGCUGACUAACAGGUGGCCUGGGGUGGAGGGUGGUGGAAACGGUGCAGGAAGAGUUUCUCAUCCCUACUCCCGGACCCGCAGGCUCAGCCUGGGAAGCUGCUGUUCUCACAAGCCUGGCUCAGCUGCCCUGACUCUCCUCACAGGAGUCAAGAAGCACAGAGGCCAUGCUGCCCAGGACAAGACACUGGCUGGAAAGACUGCAUGAAAUAAAGCCGACCUUCUGUUUUGGCGCUUCUCUCUGGAAACCUCUUGUGGACAAACCCAGCCCCAUGUCCGAGGCAGUUACAGCCUGAAGAGGAUACCUAGGCAUGGGACUGUGGCAACUCUGGACCACACAGGCCACCGGGAAGGAAUGGAGGCAGCAGCUUUCCUCGUGUCUUCAGAAAAUAGAAUGAAGAUGCAUGGCAACUAGAAAGACAGACAGCAUUCCAAAACAACAGUGGUGUUGGUUCUGGACUUACCUGCACUUGGAGGUGAAGGGGCUAGAACACAGGGCAGG